rnacentral:rRNA from 1 species
UACAGAGGUCCCAAGCGUUGUUCGGAUUCACUGGGCGUAAAGGGCUCGUAGGCGGCCAACUAAGUCCGACGUGAAAUCCCCAGGCUUAACCUGGGAACUGCGUCGGAUACUGGAUGGCUUGAAUCCGGGAGAGGGAUGCGGAAUUCCAGGUGUAGCGGUGAAAUGCGUAGAUAUCUGGAGGAACACCGGUGGCGAAGGCGGGUCUCUGGGCAAUAACUGACGCUGAGGAGCGAAAGCGUGGGGAGCGAACAGG